CCUUACUACUUGGAUAACCGUGGUAAUUCUAGAGCUAAUACAUGCUGAAAAUCCCGACUUCGGAAGGGAUGUAUUUAUUAGAUUAAAAACCAAUGGGGCCCCCCUGGGGCUUCUCUGGUGAUUCAUGAUAACUGCGCGAAUCGCAUGGCCUUGCGCCGGCGAUGGUUCAUUCGAAUUUCUUCCCUAUCAGCUUUCGAUGUUUGGGUAGUGGCCAAACAUGGUUGCAACGGGUAACGGAGGGUUAGGGCUCGGCCCCGGAGAAGGAGCCUGAGAAACGGCUACUACAUCCAAGGAAGGCAGCAGGCGCGCAAAUUACCCAAUCCCGACACGGGGAGGUAGUGACAAUAAAUACUGAAUACAGGGCUCUUUUGGGUCUUGUAAUUGGAAUGAGUACAAUUUAAAUCCCUUAACGAGGAACAAUUGGAGGGCAAGUCUGGUGGAUGUUGCUGGCGCCAGAGAGAGCCGCCCCUUCCGUAGACCAUGCGGCUAGUCGAGUGCUCGCGUCAGUGGCGGGUGAGCACCGGCGAGACAACCUGGGUCGGGAAAGGCUAAGGGCCCCCGGGGCCUACGCUGAUCCCGAGCAGAGCCGUGCGGUGCCCGCGCCCGCACGGCCUGUGUAGAGCGCGCCAAGGUGUCGGUUCGGGGGAGUCCAGCUCCCCGGGGCUUAAGGUACGUGCCAAUCCCCUGCGAAAGCAGGGCCCUGCGGACGGAGCACCCGUCAUGCGAAGCCGCAGGGGCGGGCCCCUGCCCUGUCCGUGAGUAUUAACAGUGGCCAGCAGCCGCGGUAAUUCCAGCUCCAAUAGCGUAUAUUAAAGUUGUUGUGGUUAAAAAGCUCGUAGUUGAACCUUGGGCCUGGCCGGCCGGUCCGCCUCACCGCGUGCACUGGUCCGGCCGGGCCUUUCCCCCCGUGGAACCCCAUGCCCUUCGCUGGGCGUGGCGGGGAAACGGGACUUUUACUUUGAAAAAAUUAGAGUGCUCCAGGCAGGCCUAUGCUCGAAUACAUUAGCAUGGAAUAAUAAAAUAGGACGUGCGGUUCUAUUUUGUUGGUUUUCUAGGACCGUCGUAAUGAUUAAUAGGGACAGUCGGGGGCAUCAGUAUUCAAUUGUCAGAGGUGAAAUUCUUGGAUUUAUUGAAGACUAGCUACUGCGAAAGCAUUUGCCAAGGAUGUUUUCGUUAAUCAGGAACGAAAGUUAGGGGAUCGAAGACGAUCAGAUACCGUCGUAGUCUUAACCAUAAACUAUGCCGACUAGGGAUCGGACGAUGUUAUCUUUUGACUCGUUCGGCACCUUGUGAGAAAUCAAAGUGCUUGGCUCCAGGGG
rnacentral:rRNA from 1 species